GAUGAACGCUGGCGGCGUGCCUAAUACAUGCAAGUAGAACGCUGAAGGAAGGAGCUUGCUCUUUCCGGAUGAGUUGCGAACGGGUGAGUAACGCGUAGGUAACCUGCCUGGUAGCGUGGGAUAACUAUUGGAAACGAUAGCUAAUACCGCAUAACAUUAUAUAUUGCAUGAUAUCUGCUUGAAAGGGGCAAUUGCUCCACUACCAGAUGGACCUGCGUUGGAUUAGCUUGUUGGUGAGGUAACCGCCCACCAAGGCGACGAUACAUACCCGACCUGGGAGGGGGAUCGGCCAACCCGGGACUGGGACCAGGCCCAGACUCCUACGGGGAGGAGCCGGAGGGAAACCUCGGGAAUGGAGGGAAGGCUUGACGAGCAAAGCCGGGUGAGUGGAGGAGGGUUUCGGGUCGUUAAGACUUGGUGUAAGGGAAGAAAGAGAGUUGGAGUGGAAAGUGCACGCUGUGACGGUAUCUUACCAGAAAGGCACGGCUAACUACGUG
rnacentral:rRNA from 1 species